GUCAGGUGCUGCAUGGCUGUCGUCAGCUCGUGUCGUGAGAUGUUCGGUUAAGUCCGCUAACGAGCGCAACCCUCGCUGUGUGUUACAAGUGUCACACGGAACUGCCGGUCAUAAACCGGAGGAAGGUGGGGAUGACGUCAAGUCAGCAUGGCCUUUAUAUCCUGGGCUACACACACGCUACAAUGGGAAGGGACAAUAGGUUGCGAAGCCGCGAGGCGGAGCCAAUCCAGCAAAACUUCCCUCAGUUCAGAUUGCAGGCUGCAACUCGCCUGCAUGAAGUUGGAGUUGCUAGUAAACGCAGGUCAGCCAUACUGCGUUGAAUACGUUCCCGGGGCUU
rnacentral:rRNA from 1 species